CGCCUGUUUAUCAAAAACAUAACCUUUAGCAAAACAAAUAUUAAAGGCAACGCCUGCCCGGUGAAUAUUAAACGGCCGCGGUACCCUAACCGUGCAAAGGUAGCAUAAUCAUUUGUCUACUAAUUAUAGACCUGUAUGAAAGGCAAAAUGAGGGUCUAACUGUCUCUUAUAAUCAAUCAAUUAAACUGAUCUCCUAGUAAAAAAGCUAGAAUAACACCAUAAGACCAGAAGACCCUGUGAAGCUUAAACUAAACUAUUAAAACAAAUAAUAACUACUUUUGGUUGGGGCGACCUUGGAAAAAAAAAGAACUUCCAAUAUAAUGACUUUACCUCAUACUAAUACACCUAGGCCAACAAGCCAACUAAUGACCCAGCAUAGCUGAUAAUUGAACCAAGUUACUCCAGGGAUAACAGCGCAAUCUUCUUUAAGAGCCCAUAUCAAAAAGAAGGUUUACGACCUCGAUGUUGGAUCAGGACAUCCUAAUGGUGCAGCCGCUAUUAAGGGUUCGUUUGUUCAACGAUUAACAGUCCUACGUGAUCU
rnacentral:rRNA from 1 species